rnacentral:tRNA from 1 species
GGAGAUAUGAUUGAUCAAGAAGAAGCUGCUAACUUUUAUCUUUAAUGGUUAAACUCCAUUUAUAUCUC